rnacentral:rRNA from 1 species
UAACGCGAAGAACCUUACCAAAUCUUGACAUCCUUUGACAACUCUAGAGAUAGAGCUUUCCCCUUCGGGGGACAAAGUGACAGGUGGUGCAUGGUUGUCGUCAGCUCGUGUCGUGAGAUGUUGGGUUAAGUCCCGCAACGAGCGCAACCCUUAUCUUUAGUUGCCAUCAUUAGGUUGGGCACUCUAGAGAGACUGCCGGUGACAAACCGGAGGAAGGUGGGGAUGACGUCAAAUCAUCAUGCCCCUUAUGAUUUGGGCUACACACGUGCUACAAUGGAUGGUACAAAGGGCAGCAAAACCGCGAGGUCAAGCAAAUCCCAUAAAACCAUUCUCAGUUCGGAUUGUAGUCUGCAACUCGACUACAUGAAGCUGGAAUCGCUAGUAAUCGUAGAUCAGCAUGCUA